rnacentral:rRNA from 1 species
AUCGUAACAAGGUCUCCGUUGGUGAACCAGCGGAGGGAUCAUUACCGAGUUUACAACUCCCAAACCCAAUGUGAACGUUACCAAACUGUUGCCUCGGCGGGGUCACGCCCCGGGUGCGUAAAAGCCCCGGAACCAGGCGCCCGCCGGAGGAACCAACCAAACUCUUUCUGUAGUCCCCUCGCGGACGUAUUUCUUACAGCUCUGAGCAAAAAUUCAAAAUGAAUCAAAACUUUCAACAACGGAUCUCUUGGUUCUGGCAUCGAUGAAGAACGCAGCGAAAUGCGAUAAGUAAUGUGAAUUGCAGAAUUCAGUGAAUCAUCGAAUCUUUGAACGCACAUUGCGCCCGCCAGUAUUCUGGCGGGCAUGCCUGUCCGAGCGUCAUUUCAACCCUCGAACCCCUCCGGGGGAUCGGCGUUGGGGAUCGGGACCCCUCACCGGGUGCCGGCCCUGAAAUACAGUGGCGGUCUCGCCGCAGCCUCUCCUGCGCAGUAGUUUGCACAACUCGCACCGGGAGCGCGGCGCGUCCACGUCCGUAAAACACCCAACUUCUGAAAUGUUGACCUCGGAUCAGUAG